GACAGAGGGGGCAAGCGUUGCUCGGAAUCACUGGGCGUAAAGGGCGCGUAGGCGGGAUGGCAAGUCGGUCGUGAAAUCCUUCGGCUCAACCGAAGAACGUCGGCCGAUACUGCCGCUCUUGAGGGAUGCAGAGGAGAGUGGAAUUCCUGGUGUAGCGGUGAAAUGCGCAGAUAUCAGGAGGAACACCGGUGGCGAAGGCGGAUCUCUGGGCCUUACCUGACGCUGAGGCGCGAAAGCUAGGGGAGCGAACAGG
rnacentral:rRNA from 1 species